rnacentral:tRNA from 1 species
AGGUAGCAAUUGCCAUGGACUGCUAAUCCAUUGUGCUCUGCACGCGUGGGUUCGAAUCCCAUCCU